GGGCGGUUAGCUCAGUGGUAGAGCGCUUGUUUCACACACAAGAGGUCAGAGGUUCGAAUCCUCUACCGCCCA
rnacentral:tRNA from 1 species